rnacentral:rRNA from 1 species
GAUGAACGCUGGCGGCGUGCCUAAUACAUGCAAGCCGAGCGAACGGACGAGAAGCUUGCUUCUCUGAUGUUAGCGGCGGACGGGUGAGUAACACGUGGAUAACCUACCUAUAAGACUGGGAUAACUUCGGGAAACCGGAGCUAAUACCGGAUAAUAUUUUGAACCGCAUGGUUCAAAAGUGAAAGACGGUCUUGCUGUCACUUAUAGAUGGAUCCGCGCUGCAUUAGCUAGUUGGUAAGGUAACGGCUUACCAAGGCAACGAUGCAUAGCCGACCUGAGAGGGUGAUCGGCCACACUGGAACUGAGACACGGUCCAGACUCCUACGGGAGGCAGCAGUAGGGAAUCUUCCGCAAUGGGCGAAAGCCUGACGGAGCAACGCCGCGUGAGUGAUGAAGGUCUUCGGAUCGUAAAACUCUGUUAUUAGGGAAGAACAUAUGUGUAAGUAACUGUGCACAUCUUGACGGUACCUAAUCAGAAAGCCACGGCUAACUACGUGCCAGCAGCCGCGGUAAUACGUANGUGGCAAGCGUUAUCCGGAAAUAUUGGGCGUNAAGCGCGCGUAGGCGGUUUUUUAAGUCUGAUGUGAAAGCCCACGGCUCAACCGUGGAGGGUCAUUGGAAACUGGAAAACUUGAGUGCAGAAGAGGAAAGUGGAAUUCCAUGUGUAGCGGUGAAAUGCGCAGAGAUAUGGAGGAACACCAGUGGCGAAGGCGACUUUCUGGUCUGUAACUGACGCUGAUGUGCGAAAGCGUGGGGAUCAAACAGGAUUAGAUACCCUGGUAGUCCACGCCGUAAACGAUGAGUGCUAAGUGUUAGGGGGUUUCCGCCCCUUAGUGCUGCAGCUAACGCAUUAAGCACUCCGCCUGGGGAGUACGACCGCAAGGUUGAAACUCAAAGGAAUUGACGGGGACCCGCACAAGCGGUGGAGCAUGUGGUUUAAUUCGAAGCAACGCGAAGAACCUUACCAAAUCUUGACAUCCUUUGACAACUCUAGAGAUAGAGCCUUCCCCUUCGGGGGACAAAGUGACAGGUGGUGCAUGGUUGUCGUCAGCUCGUGUCGUGAGAUGUUGGGUUAAGUCCCGCAACGAGCGCAACCCUUAAGCUUAGUUGCCAUCAUUAAGUUGGGCACUCUAAGUUGACUGCCGGUGACAAACCGGAGGAAGGUGGGGAUGACGUCAAAUCAUCAUGCCCCUUAUGAUUUGGGCUACACACGUGCUACAAUGGACAAUACAAAGGGCAGCGAAACCGCGAGGUCAAGCAAAUCCCAUAAAGUUGUUCUCAGUUCGGAUUGUAGUCUGCAACUCGACUACAUGAAGCUGGAAUCGCUAGUAAUCGUAGAUCAGCAUGCUACGGUGAAUACGUUCCCGGGUCU